UACGUAGGUGGCAAGCGUUGUCCGGAUUUACUGGGUGUAAAGGGCGUGCAGCCGGGAGUGCAAGUCAGAUGUGAAAUCCCGCGGCUCAACCGCGGAACUGCAUUUGAAACUGUGCUUCUUGAGUGCUGGAGAGGCAGACGGAAUUCCUAGUGUAGCGGUGAAAUGCGUAGAUAUCACGCAGAACUCCGACUGCGAAGGCAGCAUACCGGCGCCCAACUGACGCUGAGGCACGAAAGCGUGGGUAUCGAACAGG
rnacentral:rRNA from 1 species